rnacentral:rRNA from 1 species
CGGUGGAGCACGUGGUUUAAUUCGAUGCAAACCGAAGAACCUUACCUGGGUUUGACAUGUACGUGGUACGGAUCUGAAAGGUGAAGGACCCGGGUCUUCGGACUGGGAGCGUACACAGGUGCUGCAUGGCUGUCGUCAGCUCGUGUCGUGAGAUGUUGGGUUAAGUCCCGUAACGAGCGCAACCCUUGUCCUUAGUUACCAGCACGUUAUGGUGGGCACUCUAAGGAGACUGCCGGUGACAAACCGGAGGAAGGUGGGAAUGACGUCAAGUCAUCAUGGCCCUUACGGCCUGGGCUACACACGUGCUACAAUGGUCGGUACAAAGGGUUGCCAAGCCGCGAGGUGGAGCUAAUCCCAUAAAACCGAUCGUAGUCCGGAUCGCAGUCUGCAACUCGACUGCGUGAAGUCGGAAUCGCUAGUAAUCGUGAAUCAGAAUGUCACGGUGAAUACGUUCCCGGGCCUU